AACGAACGCUGGCGGCAGGCUUAACACAUGCAAGUCGAACGCCCCGCAAGGGGAGUGGCAGACGGGUGAGUAACGCGUGGGAACGUGCCCUUCGCUUCGGAAUAGCCCCGGGAAACUGGGAGUAAUACCGAAUACGCCGUAUUGGGAAAGGUUUAUCGGCGAAGGAUCGGCCCGCGUUAGAUUAGCUAGUUGGCGGUGUAAUGUACCACCAAGGCUACGAUCUAUAGCUGGUCUGAGAGGAUGAUCAGCCACCCUGGGACUGAGACACGGCCCAGACUCCUACGGGAGGCAGCAGGGGGGAAUCUUGGACAAUGGCGCAAGCCUGAUCCAGCCAUGCCGCGUGAGUGAAGACGGCCUUAGGGUUGUAAAACUCUUUCGCCGGAGAAGAUAAUGACGGUAUCCGGAGAAGAAGCCCCGGCUAACUUCGUGCCAGCAGCCGCUGUAACAC
rnacentral:rRNA from 1 species